CAAAUUAAGAUAACUAGUUUAUCUUCCCUUAGGAAACUCCCUACUAAAGCAAUCAGAAAACAGAAUGCUCUUGGCAUAGUGAUGCUGUUCCCUUCCCUCAGAGAUCCAUACUCCAAGAAAGGCUCCGAACACUUUUAUGAUGCUGCAAGUGACACAGGAUACAUUGCCUGGCGUAAUAAAAAAACAGUCCACAGGAAUAUGGAGCGAUGCCACCAGACAGCCCUCUUCCUCAACAGUCUACGGCCAGGAAAUGGCAUCCCUUCUUUUAAUCCCUUCCACCACUUCCAGGAGGACUGAAGUCUCCAAAAAUUGCAUGCAAUGCAGCUGAAAGCCAUGUAAUCUAUCAUAAG